rnacentral:rRNA from 1 species
CUACGGGGGGCAGCAGUGGGGAAUAUUGGACAAUGGGGGCAACCCUGAUCCAGCCAUGCCGCGUGUGUGAAGAAGGCCUUUUGGUUGUAAAGCACUUUAAGCAGGGAGGAGAGGCUAAUGGUUAAUACCCAUUAGAUUAGACGUUACCUGCAGAAUAAGCACCGGCUAACUCUGUGCCAGCAGCCGCGGUAAUACAGAGGGUGCGAGCGUUAAUCGGAAUUACUGGGCGUAAAGCGAGUGUAGGUGGCUCAUUAAGUCACAUGUGAAAUCCCCGGGCUUAACCUGGGAACUGCAUGUGAUACUGGUGGUGCUAGAAUAUGUGAGAGGGAAGUAGAAUUCCAGGUGUAGCGGUGAAAUGCGUAGAGAUCUGGAGGAAUACCGAUGGCGAAGGCAGCUUCCUGGCAUAAUAUUGACACUGAGAUUCGAAAGCGUGGGUAGCAAACAGGAUUAGAUACCCUGGUAGUC